rnacentral:rRNA from 1 species
GACGAACGCUGGCGGCGUGCCUAAUACAUGCAAGUCGAGCGGAAGUUGGAGAGCUUGCUCUUCAACUUUAGCGGCGGACGGGUGAGUAACACGUGGGCAACCUGCCCUGCAGAUCGGGAUAACUCCGGGAAACCGGUGCUAAUACCGAAUAGUUUUCGCCACCUCCUGGUGGCGUACGGAAAGACGGUUUCGGCUGUCACUGCAGGAUGGCCCGCGGCGCAUUAGCUAGUUGGUGGGGUAACGGCCCACCAAGGCAACGAUGCGUAGCCGACCUGAGAGGGUGAUCGGCCACACUGGGACUGAGACACGGCCCAGACUCCUACGGGAGGCAGCAGUAGGGAAUCUUCCGCAAUGGACGAAAGUCUGACGGAGCAACGCCGCGUGAGUGACGAAGGUUUUCGGAUCGUAAAACUCUGUUGUGAGGGAAGAACAAGUACCAACUAACUACUGGUACCUUGACGGUACCUCACCAGAAAGCCACAGCUAACUACGUGCCAGCAGCCGCUGUAACAC